UUCUCCCUAACCUUUCCCCGGCCCCCACUCAUUAUUCCUUUCUCUUCGAGCCGAAAAGCUUGCGUCACUUUGAAAAGGCGUCGUCUUCUUCGGUCUUCAGACGAGAGAUCGAGAGAGAGAGAGAGGAAGGAUGCUUUGGCUCAAGUUGAGGCGCGUAAGAAACAUGCUGAUUAAUACCAAGGGCGGCGGCGUCGACGUAGGGCAACAGCUAUUCUCCACUGCUGCUACCUCUGACCGUGGAGUUCACGGGGGGCGAAGUGAUACUCGUGCAUCGUGGACCUGCAGAGAGUAGACAAAGUAAGCAGGAGAUAUUAUUAUUAAUAGAACACGGGGGCUGUUGGGGUGGGACAAAGCAUAUUCCUACCUUGGUCACGUGCCACCUGAUUCUGGAUUUAAUGUGUAGGAUUGCUUGAUGUUUUUAUCAAAUCAAAAAUCCUUUAUUUUUAUAUAUAAUGA